GACUGACAUGGUCUCCUCAAAGUAAACACCUCAGGGAAAUGAAUAGUUUGUCUGUCUUCACUAGACAUUUCAUUGUGAUACACACCAUGCAUACACACAAGGAGGAGUUCAUACCAGGAAGUAAUGGUGCACCUAGGAGACUUCUUGAUACAUACCAUGCAUACUCAUACAUAGGGAGGAGUUCACACCAGGAGUGUGAAUGGCCCAUGGAUGCACUAAGAUUUGAUUUCUGAAUGAAUAGAAGGUCUCUGAGGGGCCCUGAUGCAUGGUGAGCAAAGAUUGGCAGCUGUCUCAAAGUUUUUCUCACAUCUCAUCAAAGUUGACAAAGGAAUUACUCGGUGAGAUGGAAAGUAAAACUGCUAGGGGAGAUCGGUUCAGAUGGGAACUCCCAAAAGUGAUUGCCAGAAUGCUGAAUGAAGUUAAGAAGACCUUUCACUCAUCUUAAUUCCUUGUACCUUCUAAAUUGAUCUUUGCUAAGUCAAGGAAUCAAUGAGGGGAUGUUGGAUUCUACAGCUACUAUGAAAAAAAACCACUGUGCUUUGGACCAAGGAAGCAAAGACAGAGUGCAACUUUUUCAUCUUGGCAAAAGUCUGGAACCCUAUCUUGCAAAUAGAAUCCUUACUUUCCUCCUUACAUGCAGCUGAGGUAGCUAGUGUGAGAUACAUGAUCUACUCGCUCAAUACAAUGUCUGCCAUUCAUCCCUAAGGAGGUGAGUAUCGGGAAAAAUUAUUCCAUUUUGGCUUGAGGGUAGCCGCCUUUUGAGCUCUACCAUCUAUCAAAUGGAUACUGUAUCUUCAGGUUUUAGUUGGUUUGUACACUUUCACCAAGUUUGGUGGUAAUUAUCAACUUUAUAAUGGGAGAAAAGGGUGAAAAAAUUCAUGGAAUACAUUGGUCAGAAGGACUUGGCUGUUAUUUGUUUUCACUUUUACCUCAGAGGCAAAGACAUAACUGAACCACUGUAACAUUUAGGUCUGCUUCCCCACUGGCCCCUAUACA